AGGACCAGGACCAGACCAGACCAGCAGGACCAGGACCAGACCAGACCAGCAGGACCAGGACCAGACCAGACCAGCAGGACCAGGACCAGACCAGACCAGCAGCUGGAGUCUCAGCUGCAGCUCCUCGGUGCUUCAGAUUUGGUGCUAAAUGGAACCAUUUGUUACCUCUAGAGAAUUGAUCAAAAUGAUCAAUAAUCCUCCAGAAUCCCACAUUAAGACAUCAAGACCUCGAGGAGCACCAGAGAAGAAGACAUGCUGUGAUUUGGGAU